rnacentral:rRNA from 1 species
AACGAACGCUGGCGGCGUGCUUAACACAUGCAAGUCGAACGAGAAAGCCCUUCGGGGUGAGUAGAGUGGCGCACGGGUGAGUAAUGCAUGGGAACAUACCUUCAGGAGGGGGAUAACAGUUGGAAACGACUGCUAAUACCGCAUAGUCUCUUCGGAGUAAACGAGGCCUAUACUUGUAAGCUACGGCCUGAAGAUUGGCCCAUGUCGCAUUAGCUUGUUGGUGAGGUAAAGGCUCACCAAGGCGACGAUGCGUAGCUGGUCUGAGAGGAUGAUCAGCCACACUGGAACUGAGACACGGUCCAGACUCCUACGGGAGGCAGCAGUGGGGAAUAUUGCACAAUGGGCGCAAGCCUGAUGCAGCAACGCCGCGUGGGUGAAGAAGGCUCUUUGGGUCGUAAAAGCCCUUUCGGCAGAGAAGAAGGGUGUUUCGAAUAGGGC